rnacentral:tRNA from 1 species
GCCCUCGUGGUAUAAUGGUUAAAUGCUUGGCUGCUAACCAAAAGGUCUGUGGUUUGAAUCCACCAGCUGCU